GGGCGACAUAUGUCUACCACACGGUUCUUCAUUGUUCUUCAGUGCUGAUUUUUAACACAUGAUGAUAGGAACUUCAUUUUGUGCAUUCUUUGUGUCCCUGGGACUUACCACAGUGCCUAACAUAUGGUGGACUAGCUGUAAGGUGAAAGCAACCUGGAUUCCUAAGUCAUCACUUGGAAAGGAGCCACCCUGAAAAGCUGCUGGACAUACAGUAGACUUUGCAUGAGUGAGCUGAGUGAGGUUUAGGGUUUGUUUAUUGCUGCAACAUAGCAGAGCCUCUCCUGACUAAUACAGAGAAGGAUGCAGAAAGAGACAUGAGGAGGUGCCUGGAGACAGCCCUGCUUUCAUCACCACUUUCCAGAGCCACAGAGAAAGGGCCUCUCUUCUAGAAAAGGAGGCAUCAAAAAAAUCUUCAGUGAAGGUAGACUUUAAUAUCUGUAUGCUUCUGUAUUGUCUUUUACAACAAGAAUGUGCUUUUAAUGUAAUUUAAAAAAAUAAAAGUUGGGAAAAACACUUUGGGCGACUUCGAGAAGAAGCCUUCACAAUGAGGAAUUUGGAAGACCUCCACAUCCCUCAAAAAUGUUUCCAUCCCUCCAUUUACAGAAAGGUUUGUUUGGGUUACCAAGCACCCAUUUAAAAAAUGACUCAGUGAGGCAGCGUAAACAAAGUGAAUUCCUGGAUGGGUAUGAUUUCACUCACAAAUGCUGGUUGCUGCUGGCUGAAGACACUUGGCCUGGGUCAGCUUCAUUUGGCAGGUUGAUGGUAUAGAACUCCAAUUCGCUUCAGUUGGUCGACCCUGACUUUUUACUCCCUCACAGUGAUGAGCAACAAACCCAAAACUCCUUAAGCAACUUGGGAUAGUUGAUGUUGAUGAAGUUUAUUUCCUGCAAGCAGCCUGAAAUGCUUUGGGGAAGGAAGCAGAAUAUACAAUAAAAUAAGACAGUAUCUAAUAAGUAAGUGCUGCUGACUUAAAAAAAAAAAAAGUGAGACGAUCAUUCCUUUGAAUAAACCACAAGAAAUUACAGAAGUUAGUUUGCAUGUGUUCCAUAAGACAUCAGUUCACUGGACACUAUGAAAAUGACCUUCUUUAUUAAUGCUGUUGGUGGCUCCAGCAACUGAAUAAGACAGUGACAAAAUCAGCUUCAUAAGUUCUGCUUCACAGCCUUGGUAGCACCAUGGGACCUAGAGGCAAUGCUCCCAUCAAGUCUCCUACAUAAAAACACCCUCACAGAGACUUGUAUUUGUCACCCACUGUUGAAGAGAAAGAGACCCAGGUGGACAAGAGAACCCGAGCUCUCCUCUCUUCGACUCUCCUUACUCCUCAACUCCUGCUGCCUCUACUCUCUCUUCCCCAAACUAUGAAAAGCUCUCUUCUCAGUAAUUUAUUCUCCUCAGUUGAUUAACUGUUGACACUUGGGUGGGAAUGGGUUUCUCUGGUGAAUUAGCACAAGCAGGAAUUUUCCCUGUAAACCUUUUCUCUCUAAUUGUGUAGCCAU
rnacentral:lncRNA from 1 species